rnacentral:rRNA from 1 species
ACAGAGGUCCCGAGCGUUGUUCGGAUUUACUGGGCGUAAAGGGUGCGUAGGUGGUCGGGUAAGUCUCAUGUGAAAUCCCGCAGCUUAACUGCGGAACGGCAUGGGAUACUAUUCGGCUCGAGGAUUGGAGGGGGGACUGGAAUUCCCGGUGUAGCAGUGAAAUGCGUAGAUAUCGGGAGGAACACCAGUGGCGAAGGCGAGUCCCUGGACAAUUCCUGACGCUGAGGCACGAAAGCCGGGGGAGCAAACAGGA